rnacentral:rRNA from 1 species
GACGAACGCUGGCGGCGUGCUUAACACAUGCAAGUCGAGCGGUAAGGCCCUUUCGGGGGUACACGAGCGGCGAACGGGUGAGUAACACGUGGGUGACCUGCCUCUAGCUCUGGGAUAAGCCUGGGAAGCUGAGUCUAAUACCGGAUAUGACCUCGCGGUGCAUGUUGCGGGGUGGAAAGCCUUGUGCGGCUAGGGAUGGGCCCGCGGCCUAUCAGCUUGUUGGUGGGGUGAUGGCCUACCAAGGCGACGACGGGUAGCCGGCCUGAGAGGGCGACCGGGCCACACUGGGACUGAGACACGGCCCAGACUCCUACGGGAGGCGAGCAGUGGGGAAUCUUGCGCAAUGGGCGAAAGCCUGACGCAGCGACGCCGCGUGAGGG